AUGGGUGGGCGAACACCCUCCGCCCACACCCUCACCCUCAACCACCACCCCGUCAGACACAAAGU